GAAAUAUUUCCUUCAAAUAUUAAUUAAAAAAAAAUACUUAAAUUUUUACAUUACUGAUCAAUAAUAAUUCAAUAUUUAUAAUUAUUGACACAAUGUGGCAGAUAGUGCUGACAUUUUUAUAAGACAAUGUAACUACACAAUUCACACAUUUUUAUCAAAAUGCUGUACGUGUAAAAAGCUUUAAAAAUUCAACACACGCACAAAUAACAUCAGUAAAUCUCUCAGGAUUUUCUGCGACCUGGAAUUCCCAGAAAAGAGAGAAUUCUGUGUGAAUUUUAUCCACCUGGGAAAAAAAACAAAUUUUGUAUGAAUUUUUCAGUAAAUCAGGGAAAAUUAGAAAACAAUGCUAGGUUACUUUAUGAUUCAAAAUAUAAUAAAUUUCGGAAAGACUCCGGUGUUACUGAUAUCCCGGUAUUUUUUUUUUUUUUUAAUUUUAAAACGGUAUAUUUGCAAUUUGUACGAAAGAGACGCUGUUGUCUCCUGCAUACUGAAAUCUCUUCCCCUUCUCAAUAUGUAGAUUCUAGCAAAAACUUUUUCUUCCGAUUUCGAAUGCGCGAGAAAGAUAUGAAGUAGACUCGAUCACGAGAUGGGUAAGCACGCCGAGCAGUCCCGUUCCCAUGUAGAGACCCACGAGUAGGCACCUAAUGAUAGACACGAACAUCCCCGAAAUGAUAUGAGAUGAUCCCUUCAAUCGCUUUUUAUGACAGGGUCAUACGGUGGAUAUAUAUUCUUGCCCAUAUCCAAAAUAAAUUGCAACAUUUUUUAAAUACUUAUGAGAACAAUUUACAGUGUUGUAUAAACUACGUAUCUUUAAAGAACGAAUUGUUACUUUGGAGGAAAAAAUGUAACUUGAUAACAAAAGUUCC
rnacentral:lncRNA from 1 species